ensembl:snRNA U6 U6 spliceosomal RNA
GUGCUCACUUCAGCAGCACAUACAUUAAAAUUAUAAUCACACAGCAUGGUCUCUGCACAUGGUGAUAUGCAAACUCAUGAAACAUUCCAUUUUGCU